AAUUGGAGGGCAAGUCUGGUGCCAGCAGCCGCGGUAAUUCCAGCUCCAAUAGCGUAUAUUAAAGUUGUUGCAGUUAAAAAGCUCGUAGUUGAAUUUCGGGACUGACAGGUUGGUCGCGCCUUCGGUGUGUACUGGCCUAGUCGGUUUCUCCCUUCUGACGAACCACGAUGUCAUUAAUUUGGUGUCGUGGGGAAUCAGGACUGUUACUUUGAAAAAAUUAGAGUGUUUAAAGCAGGCUUAGGCUUGAAUACAUUAGCAUGGAAUAAUGAAAUAGGACGUCUGACCCUAUUUUGUUGGUUUCUAGGAUCGACGUAAUGAUUAAUAGGGAUAGUUGGGGGCAUUAGUAUUCAAUUGUCAGAGGUGAAAUUCUUGGAUUUAUUGAAGACUAACUACUGCGAAAGCAUUUGCCAAGGAUGUUUUCAUUAAUCAAGAACGAAAGUUAGGGGAUCGAAGACGAUCAGAUACCGUCGUAGUCUUAACCAUAAACUAUGCCGACUAGGGAUCGGAUGAUGUUAAUUUUUUAAUGACUCAUUCGGCGCCUUACGGGAAACCAAAGUGU
rnacentral:rRNA from 1 species